UAAAAAACUUUUAUUAGGUAUUCUAUUCUGUGCAUGUUCUGCAGUAUUUAAUUUCAUUAUUCUUAGGUAUCAAGAAAUGUUAGUGGGUGAUUAUGAGGUUGACAGCCUUGAGAGGUUGGUAUUGCCAUCUGCUAUAGAGAGGGAAAGGAGGAAGAGUAAUUUUGAACAUUAUAAGGACACCACACUCUCAGCCUUGUUUCUGUAGCUAAUGGUUAGAGUAUAUGAGUAAGUUACGUAGGAUGAUAAAGAUAAUUAAAGAACCACUCCAGUCUGGUUUAUAUGAUGUCCUCCCUACUACUAUUGGAAGGUUUGGCUCCUGAGGAUUUGAGGCUUUUGCUCUGUGGGUGUCAGCAGGUUGAACUUGAUGUACUCAAAAAGAUAACAACUUUCAUCAUUAUUUUCAAGAGUCCAGAUAAUGGAAUGGAUUAUCUUGUUAUUAUUGUUAUUUUUUU